UCCCAGGUGAGCACCGGUGCCGGCCGGCAGCCACUGCCAGGAAGCGAGCGAGCUUCAGCGCCCCGACGCUCGGCGUACGCGGGUGUGUGUGCGUGUGCGAGCGGCGAGCAAAAUACCUGAAAGUGCCUCGUGCGUUACAAGCAAACGUGCACGUUCAAUUUUAGUGUCUUCCCUUUCAGAAUGAGUUUUUGUAUAUGGAACACAUUACCGGCAGUGUAUGGAAAUGAGGAACAGAAGAAUCAAAUGGUUGCACUUUCACACCACACUGAAGUCAAAUGUCAUGCGGAUGGCAUCUGACCCUGUGGCCAUGGAGCCUGAAAUCCUAGAACCCUCUCCCUGGACCCUCAGAUGCUUGGCCACUUUUGGUCCAUGAGCAAUUUCUAGUGACCCAGCUGAGGAUCCAGAACCACUUUGAGCAGCGUACACCAUAGGCCUCCUGCAACAAACUGACAACUGUUGGUGUUUCCAUUUUUUCAUAAGCCUUCACCCUAGCCAUUUUGGCAGGAGUGUUCCCAAGUGCAAGAGUGUCCAGUAGUGGGAUUUUCCAAGCUACUGGUCAGGGACACAGCUGUAUAAAUGAUGACCACCUGCCACAGAGCCUGUCCCAAGGGCUUCACCUGCGAGCCUAAUAAAUCAUAGGUGGCAGGACAGUAGGUCAAGCCAUAUGGGACUUCCCAGUCAGUUUUGUCAGCAGAAGUUUAUUUUUGAUGGAAUUUUAAAAACCAGACUCAACAGGAA